rfam:Oryza sativa (indica cultivar-group) chromosome 9, whole genome shotgun sequence.
AUCCCAUGAUGAGGACAGACGGCUACGUACUCCUGCAGUCGUUCCCAAGCUUCUGGAAUAGACUCAUCCCUUGUCUGCUGGAAAAUUGAAAUCCUUCCACGAAGGGC